rnacentral:sRNA from 1 species
UAUCUCUCCGUACGGGGGAGAAGCUUCGACUAAGGUUCGAUUCGAGCGAAAGCGAGAAAGCGUUGCCGCAGGCAACGACCCGAAGGGCGAAGCGCGCAGCGCUGAGUCAUCCUUCCCCCACCACCA